UUUAUGUUUUUGCUUCUAUUUUUGAUCUGGAUUUGGUUGACAUAAAAACUUUUGUGUCUUUGACUCGAUAAUUUUUUUUCCUAAAAUGAGAAAAAUGGUUUGUUUUCACUUCUGGGAGAAUAUGCUCGACUUUGUAGCCAUGAAUGAAGUUUCCCAAGAAGGCAAUCUUCUUGUACAGCACCAUUUGUUGUUGGGUUUUUUGGGGGCAACAACAAACAACUUCCAUUUCCUGGAGCUUAAUCGCUAAGGUAAUUUUACUUGCUAAUAUCUUUUCAUGUUAGCUUUGUUUCCAGAUGUACUUUGCAGCAAUAUUUUCUGAUUUUAUGUGAUUUAUUUGGUGGAUAUGUUAUAAAUUUAGAUGCAAUUAAUCUUUUGCCACUUGAUGGGGUAGUUUCAAUAUGAAUAAGCUGUUAUUGUGGAAGAUUAGACAUUAAAGAAGGAUUUAAGAAACUUGUUGAGCAUAAAAUUUAAUGGGGACGCAUAGGUGGCUUUUUAAAUCAAAUUGCAACGAAAUUGUAUCUGUUCUGGUUCUGGGUUGUCUUCCUAUUUCAAUUAAAUUCUUUUUCAACUUGCAUCUUCACUGAUGAUAAAUUUCAUGGGAUUGAUUUAGAUAUUUGCCUUUCGAAGAUUUUAUUUUGAGCAGUUUCCAUGUAUUGGCCCACUUAGAAACUGACUUUCUUAUUAAUAGUUUGUUUUUGAGUUGCCGUAAUAAUGUUCCCUAUUUCCAUUGCAUAGCAAGUUGACUCAUACUUGUGACCUUUUUAAACCAAAUAUUGGGCUCCACUAGUUUUAAUUUAAAUGAAUUCACUGAACAACUUUGAGUUGAUUGGCAGGUUGGUGUCAUUCUUUUCAUGUUCUGAUGCCAUAUACUAGUUUAUUUAAUAGUAUGAGGAAGUCUAGGCGGCAUAUUGAUUCAUAUCACAGGUCUCAUAAUGUACAAAAUUCAGCUAAUGAGGUUGAGUUUUUUGGUGGGUGGGUUGGAUAUUUUUCUUGCACACCAGUUAACUAGUCUUCGUUUCUUGUGGCUUAUUGUCCUCAUAACCUUCUUUUUUCUAUGAUUUGUGGUCCUUAUUUGCUCAAAUUUGAUUAAGCAUAGAUAACCCUUAUGGUUGUUGAUACGUAUAUCAUUGUCAACCUAUAUUUAUUUGUGAUAAUAAUAUAUAGGAUCCUGUAUUUAUGUAUACUCCAAUAUUUUCAUCCUUGAUAGUAGAAUUUCUUGUAAAUGUUUUACAUACAUUGCCAUUGAAAUUUUUGCGUUACAAGUGUCAUGCAUCUUAAAAUUGCAUUGGGCCAUUUUAUAUGUCUAAGCUCAUAUUUAGGAUUAAGACAUUUAUAUGUCAAGUGCAUUGGCCAUUUUAUACAUAAUAAGGUGCAAGUUUUGAAAUAAACUGAUAAUUUAGUAGGAUUGAGAUCAAUAAAAUGAAACAUUAGAUUCUAAAAAAUGUAGUCAUAACACUUUCCUUUGAGUAACUUGUGGUGAAUUACUUUUGAGAAGAAGACCCUUCAUCUUUUUGGUGGGCAUCUUUGGUCCCAGGAACAGAAGAAGCACAAUUUCCCCAAUUAGAAAUGAAGGCAGAUGUUAACUUUCAUUCUAAAUAUCACUAACCAUUAAAUGAUAAUCAAAGGGCAAUCUCCUUUUAAUGUACAUACAACAACAAAUUUCAUAAAAGAUGGAAGAAAUUAAAAUCCUAUCCCUUAAAAUUAUAAUUCUAGGUGAAAACUAAAAACAUUUUUAAAUGUUUCAUUUCUAAAAUUAGGUCAGAUACUUUGGUGGACAAAAUUAAAAUUUCAUCCCCUAAAUGGAUUAUUAUAGGACGAAACUGAAAUUUUCUCUAAAUUAAAUAUUUGUUGUAGUGACAAAUAUCGUUCAAUUUGUCCUUUUGUGAACUUUACAUGCCCAAACCACAUUACUACUUGUCAUUUCCGUUUCAGUCUAAACAAAGUGUGUUUUUUAUGAUAAAACAAUGGCACAUCCUAUUUUAGUGAUAUUUAUGUUGUGGAAAUAGAUAAAUAUAUCUCUAAUUAGUAAAGUUGAUUUAGAAGUUAUAUAAUAACUUAAAAUCAUUUGUUGUAAGCUAGUUCUAAGCUUUCUCAAUUUAAUUUAGUAUUUCAGGAGGUAAAACAAAUCUAAAUUUUCACUUUACAUCAAGUAUUUAUUAUACUUUACCAUAUACAUGGUUCAUGUGUCAAACUAUAACUGUCUAUUAGGUUGAUUUUGGGUGAGCUACUAUGUCAACAAUCGUUACCAAAGAAAUCCAUGUUUGUCUUGUUGUCUUGUACAAUGUUUCUCAACUUGAUUUGUUUUAUCUCUAAAGAUUUUAGUAUAAAUGUUAUACCCAUUAAUUGUGAGAGGAUGUUUAUUUACUCUCUAAAAGGAGUAAGACUAUGUAAACUAACAUUGAUUACUAAUAUGUGUACUAAUAAUUACAUAUUAUUAUAUGAUUGAAUGAUAUUUGAAUUUUAAUUUAAAAUCAUUCAAUCUCAUGAUGACACAUCAUUCUUAGUACAUAGAUUUGUACUCAUUAUUAAGGCGGACAGUUUUUUUUUCUGAAUAUUGCAUCCUUAUGACAAAAAGUUGGUCAUUGGCAUUUGUGCUUAAAUACUAAUUAGGAAGUAAAAAAGUUUUGUUGAAAGCAUUUUUCUAUCAAUGCAACAUUGAAGGAAAAUCAUUUUUCAUGUUAUGUGAAUCUAGUCUAAAGCUUGGAGGGUUUCAUAAGACAUUUAGUAGGGGUAUGUAUUUUCUUCCACAAACAUACAUAAAGACUUGUAUUUUCACACUGAAGGUUGAGAUUUUAAUAUUAAUGUUAAACCUUUACCUACUAAUUUGAACUUUAGGGUUAAAUGGUCACAUAAUAUCAGAGCUAAAGUUUUUUAGAGUUGAUGUGAGCCUAACUGAAGGAAUUAUGCAAGAUUGUAAAUCCUUGAAGGCUUAUCUUUUAUGCUUAUUUUAGGUCAAAUACUAACUUAAUAAAGACAGUUUUGCAACAUUGUAACCCUAAGAAACUAAUCUUUUUUAUCUAUUUACUACCUUAAGCUUUUAGAUCAAGUGGUAAUUUAUCGUCUUAUUAUUAGAAAUUUGGGACCUUAAACACCUGAAUCACAAUACUCUAGCAAAAUAACACACAGGGUCUUUUUUCAAGAAAUUAGGGUAGAGUAAUACACUAGAAAUUGAAUAAAAGAACUUUCACCAUUGUUUUAUAUCUGAACAAGGAGAACUACAACGCAAUUACAAGGCUGGUCCCUAGGUUAAAAUAAAUAAAUAAAUGGAACCCAAAAUGAUAACCAACAAUUCAGGGAGUUGUGACCUCCCAAAUCAACCAAAGAUUACCCAAACAAAACUUAAACUCUUAUCAUGCCUUUUCAUUGUUACAACUCACAACCGACUAAUAAAUAUUCUAAUAUUUUUCUGAUUUUAUGUGAUUUAUUUGGUGGAUUUGUUCUAAAUUUAGAUGCAAUUAAUCUGUUUCCACUUGAUGGGGUAGUUUAAUAUGAAUAAGGAAGAUUGGGUUCUUUCAAUAUGAAUAAGUUGUUGUUAUGGAAGAUUAGCCAUUAAGAAAGGAUUUAAGAAACUUGUUGAGCAUAAAAUUUAAUAGGCACACAGAGGGACUUGUUAAUCAAUUUGCAACGGAAUUGUCUUUGUUCAGCCUAGAUUUUAGACUUUCGCUUCUGAUAUUGGGUUCUCUUCCCUUUUCAAUUAAGUGCUUUUUUAACUUGCAUCUUCAAUGAUGAUAAAUUUCGUGGGAUUGAUUUACAUAUUUUCCUUUUGAAGAUGUGAUCUUAUGCAAUUUCCAUGUGUUGGCUCACUUAGAAACUGACUUUCUUAUUAUUGGUUUGUUUUUGACUUCUAUAAUGAUGUUCCCUAUUUCCAUUGGAUAACAGGUUGACUCAUACUUGUGAUCUUUUUUAACUAAAUUUUGAGCACCACUAGUUUUAGUUCAAAUGAAUUCACUGAACAAGUUUGAGCUGGUUUGCAGGUUGGUGUCAAUUUUUGCAAGUUCUGAUGCCAUUACUAGUUUAUUUAAUAAUGUUAGGAAUUCCAGAUGACACAUUGAUUCAUAUCACAGGUCUAAUAAUAUAUAAAAUUCAGUUAAUAAGGUUCA